GCGGCAAUAGCUCAGUGGUAGAGCCCACGCUUCGCGUGCGGGAAGACCGGGGUUCGAUUCCCGGCUGCUUCC
rfam:Toxocara canis scaffold572, whole genome shotgun sequence.